AGGCAGGCCUCGUCCCGCUCCGACUUCUUCCAACUAUUUCCUCGCACAGCACCCCGGCUCCAGAGAGAAGCCCCUCGGGCCUCGACAACCCGGCAGAGCCGGCAGGCCCGGGCUCCACUCACCCCUCAGCCCGGGAGGCGGGGGAGCUGCUGCGGCGGCUCCUCGGCCUGCGCCUCUCCUCCCCCCUCCCGGCCGCCGCCGUGGCCGCCGCUCAGCCUCGGGCCUGCUCACGGCCGGCCCCGGACCAGCUCCGCUUCACCUCGUCCCCAACUCCGGCCUCCGGAGCCCUGUGUCCUGCAUUGACCCGGAAGCAGCUUUCCCGGCCCAACAACAACACGUGACCCCGCCGCACGUGUCACGUCCGCUGCGUGAAUGGGAGGGGGCGCCGGAGGAACCGGUCCUCCAGGACCUAGCUGAGGUAAGCCUUAGGGGAAUUAAGAGAGGGGCCAGAGAAGAGUUGAUUAAAGAAAAUGUUCUGAAGAUCAAGGAGAGGGUGAGCCAAGAAACUGUUUCCUCCUUCUGCAGAGCACAAAGGGUCUUUCUGGCACCAUAGGGUGAAUGGCUUUGGAAGUAUUAGGAUCAUUGACAUGACCAACAUCUAGUAGUUUCAGUGACAAGGACCAUGAGAAGAACUGAGUGAAAUAUGCACAGAGGAGAAAGAGCAAGAGUCCAAAAGACUGUUCUAUACAUCAAAGCAAGGUGAAAAGACAGCCUUCAGAAUGGGAGAAAAUAAUAGCAAAUGAAGCAACUGACAAACAACUAAUCUCAAAAAUAUACAAGCAACUCCUACAGC
ensembl:lncRNA